rnacentral:rRNA from 1 species
UACGAAGGGGGCUAGCGUUGCUCGGAAUCACUGGGCGUAAAGGGUGCGUAGGCGGGUCUUUAAGUCAGGGGUGAAAUCCUGGAGCUCAACUCCAGAACUGCCUUUGAUACUGAAGAUCUUGAGUCCGGGAGAGGUGAGUGGAACUGCGAGUGUAGAGGUGAAAUUCGUAGAUAUCGGAGAACACCAGUGGCGAAGGCGGCUCGAC